GGUUCUGUCUUCAAACUUACUGGUGAUGAAAGGAAUGAAGGAUCUGUGGAUACAUUUUAGGUCACAUUUGCCUGAUUAAAAAUCAUUGGGAAAAAAGAAAUCGUCAAAUACUUGGCAGUAUUUGCUAAGUUAUUUUCUGUGCCAGCCUAGUACCAGAGAGAUUUUCUUAUCAAGUUCAAGUGACAAUUCCUUUGGAAGAAUCUCUGUCCUCAGUUGUGUGGCUGUGGUUGGACAAUAUGUAAGACUGCCAGCUUCACCUCUGAUUUAUGAAGCAAUUCAAAGUUGCUGUCUGCAGAGACAUCCUGGAUCUGCAUGCUUAAAACAGAAGUCCUGGAAGCAUGCACAGUCUAACUACAAGAAAAAAUAUCAGAUGAACUUCAGAGCUUCCUACCAAACACUGACCAGGACUUCUCAAAACAAGACUACUGAAAACCAGGAACCCCUGAGAAGCUGUAGCAGCCAAGAGGGACCUAAGGAAGCAUGAUGAUUAAAUCUGAUGUGGGAUCCCGGGUGGGACCUUGAGGCAAAAAAUAGUACAUUUUGGCAAAAGCUAAGAAAAUAGGAAUAAAGUACAGAUUUCAAUUAAUAAAAAUGCAUCAAUGCAGAUUGCUUUUUUCGACAAAUGUGCCAUAGUAUUGUAGGUUGUAGAUUGAAGAAACUGC
ensembl:lncRNA